UACGUAGGGUGCGAGCGUUGUCCGGAAUUAUUGGGCGUAAAGAGCUCGUAGGCGGUGUGUCGCGUCGGUCGUGAAAACUUGGGGCUUAACUCUGAGCUUGCGGUCGAUACGGGCAUCACUUGAGUUCGGCAGGGGAGACUGGAAUUCCUGGUGUAGCGGUGAAAUGCGUAGAUAUCUGGAGGAAUACCGGUGGCGAAGGCGGCAUCCUGGACCGAGAUUGACGCUGAUGAGCGAAAGCUAGGGGAGCAAACGGG
rnacentral:rRNA from 1 species